rnacentral:misc_RNA from 1 species
GAAAUUUCAAUCAUACAGAGGCAAGUGUGAGCUAUUUUUGCCGCUAGUGCUCAUGGGUAAGGUCGCGGUGGGUGCGGGCGUGGUCUGCGCGGCUGCUGUGUGUGCUGCGACGGCGCUGGUGGUAAGGCACAGGAUGCUCAGCUCGGGGAGAUGGGCCAAGGCCAUGGCCAUACUCAGGGAGUUCGAGGACAAGUGUGGGACACCCAUAGGAAAGCUACACCAGGUGGCCGAUGCCAUGACCGUUGAGAUGCAUGCCGGCCUUGCAUCGGAAGGUGGGAGCAAGCUUAAGAUGCUCAUCAGCUAUGUUGACAAUCUUCCCAUAGGCGAUGAGAAGGGUUUGUUUUAUGCUUUAGACCUUGGGGGCACAAAUUUUCGUGUCCUACGGGUACUAUUGGGUGGGAAAGAAGAUCGUGUUGUCAAACAAGAAUUUGAGGAAGUUUCAAUUCCUCCUUACUUGAUGACUGGAUCUUCAGAUGCAUUGUUCGAUUAUAUUGCUGAAGCACUUGCUAAAUUUGUUGCUACAGAAGGUGAAGGAUUGCAUCCUUCACCUGGUCAACAAAGGGAACUGGGCUUUACCUUUUCAUUUCCAGUUCGGCAAACAUCAAUAGCAUCAGGAACUCUUAUAAAAUGGACAAAAGGCUUCUCCAUAGAGGACACGGUUAAUCAUAAUUACCUUCUUCCGUUUCGCAAUCAUUUAUACUUAUGAUCAGUGCUUGCAGCUAGUUAUGAAAUUUUUUUUUUUUUGAUGUUGGUGCAUUUCUUUUAUUUUUAGCUUUGAAUAUUUUUUCUCUAAUAUAAAAUUUUGCUCAUCAUUUUCUCCUUGCCACCGCAAUCGUUAUAAUUCCAUUUCAUUGCAUUAAGGUAAAAUGCUAUUAGAUUUCCUUUGAUCUGUGCAAUUUCGGCAGUUCAGAAACAUGCAAUGGAUAUUACUGGGGGACCACAUGCAAAACUCAACACCAAAACUUCAUGGCCAAUGGUUCUGUCAUUUUGGCUUAUUUGUCUGGAACAGUUCCUUCCUUUUUCUGUAUUUUCAUCAGAAGGCCUACUGGCCUUGGGCGUGGAAGUGUUCAUUUUCUCUUAAAAUGAAUUUGCAUGCAUAAAUUUGCAGAUAUGUCCCUCAGUGCAGCUUUCAUGCUUAAAUUUGCAGGCAUAUCUAGCUAAUUUAUAGACUUAUAACAUUAAUUGAUGUAUGGAUCCUUGUUAACUACUAUGUAUGGAUUGUUGAUCAUUUAGACAACUGUGCAAUUCAUGUAUUGAGUAAAGGGAAAGCUCAAAGCAAUACUUGUUUAGUCUUGCAUGCCAGAUCUUGCUAGGUUUUGGUUAUAUUAUUCUGUGACAAAUACUUAAACAUUUAACUGUAACAAGCAGACAGUUACUUAGUAAUUCUUUUUUUGUGAGGUUCGGAAAUUUUGGGCCAUAGUUUACAGGUGUUCCUGACAUGGGACAUAUCUCAAUGCUUCAUUCAAUAAUGUGACUUCUAAGUCUGUUAACUUCUUUUUAACUGUUUGAUGGCUGGUCCUUGUACAGUUUGGGCAAGAUGUGGUGGGAGAGUUGACAAAAGCCAUGGAAAGAGUUGGCCUUGACAUGCGUGUUGCAGCUUUGGUCAAUGAUACAAUUGGAACACUAGCUGGAGGUAGAUACUACAACCAGGAUGUUAUUGCUGCUGUAAUCUUGGGUACUGGAACUAAUGCAGCAUAUGUAGAGCGAGCACAAGCAAUUCCCAAGUGGCAUGGUCUUCUUCCUAGAUCUGGGGAAAUGGUCGUUACUUUUAAAUAAUUGUUAUUUACCGUUGUUCUUAUAUACCCUAACAUGUUAUCUGUUUACAGUUAACUGUAUCAUAUUUCUGUGGCAGGAUUUCUUGUUAUGACUUGACAUUUAAAAUCAUACUAAAGCAGUCUUUAUUACAUAGGUUAUCAACAUGGAGUGGGGUAACUUUCGGUCGUCACACCUUCCAUUGACAGAAUAUGACCAAGCCCUGGAUGUUGAGUCUCUGAACCCUGGGGAACAGAUUUUUGAGAAGAUAAUUUCUGGUAUGUAUUUAGGAGAGAUUGUACGCAGAGUUCUAUUGAAAAUGGCUCAGGAAGCUGCCUUCUUUGGUGUUGAUGUUCCACCAAAACUGGAGAUUCCAUUUAUCUUAAGGUAUGAUAUAUACUAUUAUGCUGUGAGCUAUUUGUUAUUCAGUCCUCCUUGUCUUUUUAGGCUUUGGCUUCUUUGUGUUUGCUUAUGUUUGGGUUGUUUCGCUAAUGCAUAUUGACUUUAUGUGAAAAUGAUGCUGACUGCAGACCCUACUCUUAAGAUUGGGAUUCACCAACACAUCCUUUUCUCUCCAUCUCUUUCAUCUUCAGUGUCCUUUCAUACAAUAUUUAUUGAGUUUCAUAUGAGUGAAAAUAGGUUAAUUUUGUCAUAUGUAUGGUGUAAUUUGCUUAUAAUGGACAUACAGUGUGCUGCUCUGUUAAUUUUGUGCUAAUAGCUUUCUUGCUGUCACGUUUCUCUUUCUGUUAUGAAAUAUGCAGGACUCCACACAUGUCUGCAAUUCAUCACGAUACAUCUUCAGAUCUGAGAGUUGUUGGAAGCAAAUUAAAGGAUAUCCUAGAGGUAUUCAUCCUCUUGAUGCUCUUUAGAACCUUCCACAUGAUCUUAAAUUUUCUGUUACCUUGCAAAUGCAUUUUGUUAUCUAAGCUUCCUGCAUCUGUGUUUCCUAAUUAUAAAUGUCUCUUAGAUAAUUCAAGGGUUCAAGCCUUUUGGCUUCAUGCAGAAGCUAAUACAACAGUAGCAGUGUUUCCCAUCCACGUGUGAACUUAGCAGCUAAAGGACAACAAAGAUAAUUUCAUGGCUUUUUGUAGAAUUUGUAAUGUAGUGUUUCAUUUCUGGCUCAGGUACCAAAUACCUCCCUGAAAAUGAGGAAAGCUAUUGUCGAGCUCUGCGACAUUGUUGCCACUCGUGGUGCCCGGCUAUCUGCUGCUGGAAUCUUAGGCAUCCUCAAAAAAUUGGGGAGAGACACAGUGAGGGAUGGGGAAAAGCAGAAGUCAGUAAUAGCAUUGGAUGGUGGGCUGUUUGAGCACUAUACUAAAUUUCGUACCUCCAUGGAAAGCACUCUCAAGGAGUUGCUGGGAGAGGAAAUUUCUGAAAGCAUUGUCAUUGAGCACUCAAAUGAUGGCUCGGGCAUUGGAGCAGCUCUCCUGGCAGCUUCCCACUCCCAAUACAUGGAGGUCGCAGAAGCUUAAAAAAGUAUAGGUAGAUGAAAAUAAUGACAUUUUUCAAAUUUUGUAUUUUACUCCUUGCCAUCACUUACUCCAGAUAGUCUAGAGCUAGCGAUAUCUCCUAGUUCAUGGGGUAUGCCAGUAGAUCUUAAUGCGUGGUCUUAUAGAGUUUAUAACCGAGUGAUGGAUCAAAUACUCUCACAAAGUGGCUAGCAAUGGACCCAAGCUUCCAUGUUGAGACCUGCCAUUUUGAUCCCUUACCUCCUUUUUCCCCCUUUACAAGGUAGCAAAUAAAGUGGGGGAUGUAAACUAUUAUUUGAGUCGCUACAUUCGGCAAAAUAUGUUUCUAUGGUUUCAAAUGGAAAUAAAAAGUAGAUUUUGC